rnacentral:misc_RNA from 1 species
GAGUUCGACGAAGAGCCCGAACCUCGUGGUGCUGAUGACGAGUCCGCUGAACUCCUGGCCCACGCGAUCCUCCAUGAACUUCGCCUUCUUCCACUCGACGAGUUCGCGUUCGGCUUCAUCGGCGCG